CUGGGUCUCAGUAUGCUUCAGACUCGCGGUGUCGAACUUUUCGAUGCCGGCGAUCAGCGUUUGCUGGGUCUUCUCCGCGGCAACAUCUGGAAAUGGAACGAUCGAUCUCAGAAACGGAAAUAAUUAUAAUACAAUCGACAGUCUAGACACGAUGUGUCUGACCCGAAAAUGCCGAAUCCGGAAGUGAAGGUACUCUUGACGCCUUCUGCAUGAGCACCUGCUUAUAUCAAUUUAGUGACCUGGAGAACAGUGAAUAACGGAACAUGCAUAAUAUCGUGUGAGUUAUUAAAUAUACGAGAAUCAUUUCCACAUAAGGUGAAUAUAUGUAGGCAAGAGAGAAAGAGACACGCUGUUUCCAAUCGUCAGCGAACAUGUGGCAGUUUUCUUUGUCGAACCGCACCACCAGCAAUCUACGCGCUGACAACAGCGGUUGCUAUUGAAUACCAACGAAGCUGUUACAAAUGAAGCUAUCGACAGCGACGUCGGAAUUGCACAUUGCAUUGUCGCAGCAGCACAAAUGCAGCGGAACUUUCUUUGCGAAUACUUUCUCGAUUCACAAUGAGAUUUUGUUGAUGCAAGACUUUAAUUGAAAAAUAAAGAGAAAUAUAAAA